UGCGCGCGACAGUACGUACAAAUAAUUAAGGUAGUUUCAGCAGAAUGAAAAAGAGACAUUAAUUGGCACCCCAUAUAUAUGCUUGCAUUGCAGGCCGAAGAUGAUAUAGUUGCUAUGGCGAGAGAAGGAACACUGUACUGAUGGAUCAAGCCAAUGGAACGAACCGGUCAUGAUUUUAUUUAUUCCAAAACAGGCAUUCAAAUUACCAUGCAUGAUAUUACUAUAAGUUACACCAAAUAGUGCUAUAUAUAAGUAUCGGCUGUAACCCAGCGCACGGUUCUACCUCUACUGCUGGUAGCCCCAAUUAUCGGUUAAAUAAUGAUUUUGAGAUCCCAAAAUGGAACAUGAAGCCACCAAGGAAGCCAUAAAAUGCACCCAAGCCCAGUGCAUCUAGAACCCGUUCAGAACUCGCCGCCGCCGGUUCCUGGUGGCGUAGUGCAUCGCCCUGUAAUAACCUCCUCGCCAUGUAGCUCAAUGCUAUAUCAAUGUUGUUCACAUCUUUCUUCAGCUUUGCUAUUUCCCGAAAUUGGGAUGUCCUUGCUCUUGCUCCUGUGUAAUGACCAAGGUCCUGUACGCAUGCAGAUAGAUAAUAUAUAUAUAUAUAUCAGUAAAAAAUGGGAGAAGAAGAAGAAGAAGAAGAAGAAGAAGAAGAAGAAGAAGAAGAAGAAGAAGAAGAAGAGAAGAAGACUGAAGUU
rnacentral:lncRNA from 1 species